rnacentral:siRNA from 1 species
ACCAUGUCCAUAUGGGCAACCCGU